CCAUGAUGUUGUUCCAGGUCUCCGAGUUGUCCAAAGGGCGCGAGCGGAACCGCGCAGGUCGCGCAUCCAGAGCGCAGCAGCAGCACAGCACGAGCAACGCAGCAAGCACAAAAAGGGUAAAGCAAGAAAUGGUGACAUUGUGGUUAAUGCUCUGUUCAUGGAGUGAGGAGACAGGAGAAAGUCUACCAAGGUGGCACAGGGUGGCAACUGCUACCCUAAGAAUAAGCAUCGCCCCCCCAUCACUGGUAUCCCAAUGUAUCAGUUUCCUCGACCGAUUUACAGCAGCAGAAAUUCAAUGUGAUGACAUAAAAAAAAAAAAAACAUUUACUCGUAAAUAAUGUCAAGAAAUCUCAUCUUUCUAUUAGUCUGUAGUCAAAAGCGUAGUCCAAACAAAUGAUUCAGAGGAUUUGUAAUAAACAUGUAAGUUUUUAUAUAUUA